CGUCUCAGUUCGGAUUGCAGGCUGCAACUCGCCUGCAUGAAGUCGGAAUUGCUAGUAAUCGCGGAUCAGCAUGCCGCGGUGAAUACGUUCCCGGGCCUUGUACACACCGCCCGUCACACCAUGAGAGCCGGGAACACCCGAAGUCCGUAGUCUAACCAUUAAGGAGGACGCGGCCGAAGGUGGGUUUGGUAAUUGGGGUGAAGUCGUAACAAGGUAUC
rnacentral:rRNA from 1 species